rnacentral:rRNA from 1 species
UUAAGAUUAGCCUGCGUCCGAUUAGCUAGUUGGUGGGGUAAGGGCCUACCAAGGCGACGAUCGGUAGCUGGUCUGAGAGGAUGGCCAGCCACACUGGAACUGAGACACGGUCCAGACUCCUACGGGAGGCAGCAGUGGGGAAUAUUGGACAAUGGGGGGAACCCUGAUCCAGCAAUGCCGCGUGUGUGAAGAAGGCCUGAGGGUUGUAAAGCACUUUCAGUGGGGAGGAGGGUUGAUAGGUUAAGAGCUGAUUAACUGGACGUUACCCACAGAAGAAGCACCGGCUAACUCCGUGCCAGCAGCCACGGUAAUACGGAGGGUGCAAGCGUUAAUCGGAAUUACUGGGCGUAAAGCGUGCGUAGGUGGUUGAUUAAGUUAUCUGUGAAAUCCCUGGGCUUAACCUGGGCAGGUCAGAUGAUACUGGUUGACUCGAGUAUGGGAGAGGGUAGUGGAAUUUCCGGUGUAGCGGUGAAAUGCGUAGAGAUCGGAAGGAACACCAGUGGCGAAGGCGGCUACCUGGCCUAAUACUGACACUGAGGCACGAAAGCGUGGGGAGC